rnacentral:misc_RNA from 1 species
AUUUUUUCUCAUUUUCUAUUUUUUCAACCCUUCAGUUCUAGUUGAGCAACUCUGCUUUUUCAGAGGCUUCCCCUGCUCUUUUUGGGCAGGGGGAAGCUCCUUUUUCCAGCCUAGAUUGUGGGUUCACCCUCCUUAUGAGUGGGUAGGUGUAAAUAGUUUUAGUUGAUGUUUGUUUUGGAGCAGAUUUGUGCAAAUGAUGAGGAUGAUUAUUUGAUCUACUGCUAUAGGUGGUUUAGUGGUUUUGUUAUGUUGUUGGCUUAGCUUUGGUGGCCAUGCAUGUUGAAGUUGUUGGGGGACAGUAACGACUCUAUGGGUUUAAUUGUGCGGUGAAUGAAGUUUUAUGUUUGCAGAUAUGCCUAGUUUGGGAGAUCAGAGUUUUCUCAUUCAUUGCGUCGGUGUAUACUUUGUUUCUUUCUGGUCUGGCAUGGAACAAUCGUUUGUGGCAACUCGCGAGGUGCGAUACAAAAGAUCUGCCCAGAAGGUGCGAAUGGGACACCCAAAAGACCCAUCGCCGAUGUCCUAUGCUUGUUGUGGCAUCAAUACAAAGCAUUGUUUCGAGAUCUGCAUGCUGCCUCUCCUAUUUUAUCAAAUAUCAGGUUAUGUGAGGUUCCUCUAUUUUGGGUCUAUUUUUAUGCUUGAAUAAUCCUAGCGUCUGAAUCUGUGAUGCCUCUUUGGAAUUGUUGGAAGAUACUCAUUUUUGUUGGAGUUUUGCUGGAACGACUACUGGCCAUUGUUGUCAAGGUUCUCCCUGAAGGCGACGAAGCAAGUAUCCUGCUACGGCGCUGGUUCAAGGUGGCAACCAGGUCCUUGAUUUUGGUCAUCCUUAACCGUUUGAGUGGUUAUUAAAUUAUUAUUAAAUUAACUAUUUAAUUAAAAAUUUUGUAUUUUUAUUAAUUGAUAUAAAGUUCUAGUCAUGUUU